AUGGGGACACCAAAAGCUCAACCAUUGCCCCAAACCCAGACUUUGGCCCCAAAUUUCCGGGCGGCCGUGACCCUGCUGGAGUCCGGGGGGGACCUCCAGCCCCCCGGGGGGUCCCUGCGCCUCCUCUGCCGAGGGGAGGGAUUCGAGUUCGGGAAUUUUGGGCUGGGCUGGAUGCGCCAGAGGCCCGGGAAGGGGCUGGAAUACGUCGCGAGCAUCAGCAGUGGUGGUUACACGUACUACGCGCUGUCGGUGCAGGGCCGGUUCACCAUCGCCAGGGACAACGGGCAGAGCUCGGUGACGCUGAGCAUGAACAACCUCCAGGACGAGGAUUCCGGGGUUUAUUUCUGUGCCAAACGUUUUGAUGCUGGAGCUGCUAAUCUUCCUUUUGGUGGUGACAAACCCUGCCUCCAUCACUGUUUCCCCAAACCCCAGGGUUUUGCCCCAAAUCCUGACCCUGACCCCGGUGCUGACCCUUUAUCCCCAGCCGGGCUCGCUCUGGCCCCGGCUGAGAGGGGAGAGUUGGGGCAGCAGGGGCGGAGUUUGGGGUGA